UCUCUGUAAAGACAAGUCAUGCCAAUACAGAGAAAGUGUGUGAUCGACUGAUUAGUAUGAAUAUGUGUUAAAUAUUGUUUUUUUCAUCAUUGCCAGAGAGAU